rnacentral:rRNA from 1 species
GACGAACGCUGGCGGCGUGCUUAACACAUGCAAGUCGAGCGGUAAGGCCCUUUCGGGGGUACACGAGCGGCGAACGGGUGAGUAACACGUGGGUGACCUGCCCUUAGCUCUGGGAUAAGCCUGGGAAACUGGGUCUAAUACCGGAUAUGACUCCAUAACGCAUGUUGUGGGGUGGAAAGCCUUGUGCGGCUAGGGAUGGGCCCGCGGCCUAUCAGCUUGUUGGUGGGGUGAUGGCCACCAAGGCGACGACGGGUAGCCGGCCUGAGAGGGCGACCGGCCACACUGGGGACUGAGACACGGCCCAGACUCCUACGGGAGGCAGCAGUGGGGAAUCUUACGCAAUGGGCGAAAGCCUGACGCAGCGACGCCGCGUGGGGA